GACGAACGCUGGCGGCGUGCUUAACACAUGCAAGUCGAGCGGAGCGGCGAACGGGUGAGUAACGCGUAGUAACCUGCCCCCCUCUCUGGGAUAACAGUUGGAAACGGCUGCUAAUACCGGAUAGUGGGGGCUGGACUCGCGUCCUAUCAGCUUGUUGGUGGGGUAGUGGCCUACCAAGGCGACGACGGGUAGCCGGCCUGAGAGGGCGACCGGCCACAUUGGGACUAAGACACGGUCCAGACUCCUACGGGAGGCAGCAGUGGGGAAUAUUGGAAAAUGGGCGAAAGCCUGAUCCAGCCAUGCCGCGGGUGUGAAGAAGGUCUUCGGAUUGUAAAGCACUUUAAGUUGGGAGGCGUUACCAACAGAAUAAGCACCGGCUAACUUCGUGCCAGCAGCCGCGGUAAUAC
rnacentral:rRNA from 1 species